rnacentral:lncRNA from 10 species
AAACAAAAUUGACAAACCCUUGGCUAGACUAAGAAAAAAAGAAAGAAGAACCAGGCUGGAAGCAGUGGCUCAUGCCCAUAAUCCCAGCACUUUGGGAGGCCGAGGCAGAGUGGAUCACCUGAGGUCAGGAGUUCGAGACCAACGUGGCCAAUAUGGCAAAAUUCUGUCUCAACAAAAAUACAAAAAUUAGCCAGGCAUGGUGGCACGUACGUAUAAUCUCAGCUACUUAGGGGGCUGAGGCAGGAGAAUUGCUUGAAUCCAGGAAGUGGAGGUUGCAGUGAGCCAAGAUUGCACCACCACACUCCAUCCUGGGUGACACAGCAAGACUCCAUCUCAAAAAAAAAAAAAAUGCAGAAAGAAGACCCAUAUAAAUAACAUCAGGAACAAAAAAGCAGACAUAAAGCUGAGACCACAGAAAUACAAUGAAUCAUUAGAGACUAUUAUGAAAAAGUAUGUGCCAACAAAUUGGAAAACCUAAAAUACUCAUUCAUUCCCUUUACCACCCGCAGCCCGGCACUGACCCAACUUCCCUCAUAAAAGACAUGAACAGGGAAGAGAUCCACCUUUCCUUCUUCUUUCUUCUCUUUUUUUUCUGGGAUCAGGCUUUUUAAGGAUUGGAAUCUGGGAAGAAGGAUGAAAGAAAUGAGACUAGCCUUUCCAUAACUGGACCACCAGUAUGAUUUUCUGUAGGUUUCUCUGCUGGAUUCACAACCACUGGCAUAGGAGCCCUCCAUGUGGCAGGUGUUACUUGGAGACCCUCUGACUGCUCAAGCGAACCUCCCCAUGGCAUGGAAUCUUGUGGGAGCUCUGCCACCAGGAAACUCCAAAUGUUCUUCAGCUACUGUUCCAAAGCUUUUGCCCUUGAGGAACACAGUGAGGCAGAACCAACACAAUGAGGACUUACUGCUCACCUGAAUAUAUUCUGGGAGGACUGGAAGGACCUACCAGGUCAGGUUCAAAGUGCCAACUUCCAGAUAAGAAACUGUAUGUGAAGUAUGUGAGCCCACACUACUGCCUUGCUUUGGACCAUCUAACAUUUCCACUCCAACCCUACUCUCGGGCCAUGGGACUGAAAGCAUCACACACAUGCAACUGAUUACAGCAGAACACACUGUAUGCCACAUCCAUCUUGUGAAACUUCAAGUCCAGCCAGCUACAACAACCUAGGAGAUUACUGUGGCAAAGAAAAUUAUUUUCUUUAAGUGAAGACUGGUUGACCACCACGGUGUGGUCAAAAAUAACUCAUUCCCCCCACUCUUAAGAAGCACUAACUCAAAUGUGACAGGAAUUUGUGCUCACACUCAGCCCACCCUGUCAUUUUCCUGCUUCUGGCAAGGCCCCUGCAGGAGUGGGGCUCUCCACGGUGCCUAUCAAAUGAAAAGGGACUUGAAAAUUCACAAUCCUGCUCUCCUAAAUUCCUUCACCAACGCUGUGAUAAAAAAGAGAAAAUGAGUGUCCUAUGCUGGAAAUCCAACUAAAAGAAAGUUUGAGAAAAAUGCUUCCUUUUUAACGUUCAAAACCAACAUUUAUAAAAAUAAUGUUUGUUCCAGACCAAGGGAGUAGAAUAGACUAACAUUCAAAAUGGAAUGCAUUAUUAGUGACUCUUGAGACAGCAACUGAAGACACAGAGCUUAAUCUUCAUGGUUUGUUUGAGAUAAAAACAAAAUUAUUGGGGAGAAAAAAGGAAAAUUUUACAAUUUAUUUCUUAAUGUACAAAUUUUGAAAAUUGAAGAAAUCAAGAAGUUCACAAAUAUUGAAUUAGAUUUUCUGUUCAUGCUUGAUUUAAAAAAAAUAAAACUCAAGGAUAAUUUUUACUUAGCACAAGAUAUUUAGUUAUUUUUUGAAACAUAAAAUCUAGUCAAUUAACUAAUAUGAAUUUUCAAACU